rnacentral:rRNA from 1 species
GGACGAACGCUGGCGGCGUGCCUAAUACAUGCAAGUCGAACGGUCUUUCUAUGGAAGCUUGCUUCCACUGAGAAGAUAGUGGCGAACGGGUGAGUAACACGUGGGUAACCUGCCCAUAAGAGGGGGAUAACAUCCGGAAACGGGUGCUAAUACCGCAUAGUUUUCUUGAUCGCAUGAUCGGGAAAGGAAAGACGGCCUUUGUGCUGUCGCUUAUGGAUGGACCCGCGGCGUAUUAGUUAGUUGGUGAGGUAACGGCUCACCAAGACGAUGAUACGUAGCCGACCUGAGAGGGUGAUCGGCCACAUUGGGACUGAGACACGGCCCAAACUCCUACGGGAGGCAGCAGUAGGGAAUCUUCCGCAAUGGACGAAAGUCUGACGGAGCAACGCCGCGUGAGUGAAGAAAAGGUUUUCGGAUCGUAAAACUCUGUUGUCAGAGAAGAACAAGUUGGAGAGUAACUGCUCCAGCCUUGACGGUAUCUGACCAGAAAGCCACGGCUAACUACGUGCCAGCCGCCGC